UUAUACGGGAGGCAGCAGUGGGGAAUAUUGCACAAUGGGCGCAAGCCUGAUGCAGCCAUGCCGCGUGUAUGAAGAAGGCCUUCGGGUUGUAAAGUACUUUCAGCGGGGAGGAAGGCGAUGUGGUUAAUAACCGCGUCGAUUGACGUUACCCGCAGAAGAAGCACCGGCUAACUCCGUGCCAGCAGCCGCGG
rnacentral:rRNA from 1 species